rnacentral:tRNA from 1 species
UAGCUCAGUGGUAGAGUGCUUGCCUGGCAUGCAUGAGGCCCUGGGUUCAAUUCUCAA